AGUCGCUUGAAUUAUACUGCUGUGUGUCUGCGCCAUGCUUCUUCAGUCUUCGAGCUGGAAGCUUUCCGGGGAGGGUCAGUAAUGGCCACUGAGCCCUCUGUUGGCUUAUUGGCUGAGCUCACUGAUGAGGAAACCUUGAGUUCGUCACUUUCUCUUCUCUAAUUGCUGAAGUGGCCGUCACUGAAGAUGACAGAGCGUUUCUGAAGGACACAUGGGAAUCAUUAACCAGCCCAAUAAAAUGAUCUAUUUAUGAAGAGAAAGUCAGCACUGAACCACAGGCCACUUAGAGUUCCAUCUUGAUGCUACAAGAGCUGCAGGAGGCUUUGAACUGACAUGGUGAAUGUGGAUGCAUGUAGAGUUCCUUGGACAGCCCAGGGAAGGACCUCCACCUUCGUUGCUCCCUUCUCCUGUCCCCCCACCUACCAAAACACAGGAACCCCAUCUUCAGACAGAAGGCAUGCUGCCUCAUGAAGGCUCACAGUUCCAGCCCUUAGAACCAUCCAGAGGGCACAACCAUCAGACGAAGUGGGAGGAAGAAACAUUAACUUCAACAGCUGUUUCUUGACCCCGGCUGUCAGUCUUCCCAAGAAUAAAUUUUGGAGAGUCCUAUUUGAAACAAAGAGGGAGUUUUGGGGGAGAGAAAAGUUGGUUGGUUCCAGGGCAGCCGCCCAAAGAAGCAGGGAACAAGAUGUUUGCAGUUACCACGCAGCCUGCAAGCCUCUGCCGGGUGCAGGCAAGGAGCAAAGUAACUUGAAAGCUCCCCUCUCGGCGCCCUGUGCCUGCAGCUUCCCCCCCUAACGCGCGCCCAGAUCCAGCGCCGGUGGUAAGAGCCGAAGCUCGACUACAGUAAUUCCCCAGCUCGGGCGGCUUGAAACUGCUCGGGCUGAAUAGCAUUUGCUGUUCCGUCCUGUGGCAGCCUCCCGCCGCCGCUGCCGCGCUCCCUGCAAAGCAGCUCUCAUUAUCCCGGAAGUUGUGCUGACACAGUCUCGCUGCCACCAGAAGUUUGUCAACAUCAAACUUCUCCUGUGUGGGGUACGUUCACCUUCCACGAGUAUUUAAUCGAGCCAACAAGCAAACAAACAAACCCAAAUAAACCUGCCCGUGAUGUCAUGGUC
rnacentral:lncRNA from 1 species